rnacentral:rRNA from 1 species
AGUCGGACGGGAUAGAAGAGCUUGCUUUUCUUGAGAGUGGCGCACGGGUGCGUAACACGUAUGUAACCUACCUUAAUCAGGGGGAUAGCCUCUCGAAAGAGAGAUUAAGACCGCAUAAUAUUAUGAAGUAGCAUUAUUUUAUAAUCAAAUAUUUAUAGGAUUAAGAUGGGCAUGCGGAACAUUAGCUAGUUGGUGAGGUAACUGCUCACCAAGGCUACGAUGUUUAGGGGAUCUGAGAGGAUGGCCCCCCACACUGGUACUGAGACACGGACCAGACUCCUACGGGAGGCAGCAGUAAGGAAUAUUGGUCAAUGGGCGGAAGCCUGAACCAGCCAUGCCGCGUGCAGGAAGACGGCCCUACGGGUUGUAAACUGCUUUUGUACCGGAAUAAACCUUUCUUCGUGAAGAAAGCUGAAUGUACGGUAAGAAUAAGGAUCGGCUAACUCCGUGCCAGCA